ensembl:lncRNA
CAGCACAGCAUUAUGCAGAGUACAGUAUCUUUAUUUCAAGCCCUGAAUGUCCUGAAGCAAGCGUAAAAGCAAUGGUAUAUAGCCAUUGUGUUAGCUGGGUACCUAGGCUAACUUUGUUGGACUUAGAAACAAACUCUCAGAAUGGAACUCAGUCAUAUAUAGAGGACUUACUGUACUGACAUGAAGACAAUCACUGCUCUGCUUCUGUCUUCCAGGGGGCUUUCUGAAUCACAUUAUCUCUCUUUGUAGUCAAUUGGAACUCGCUGAAAUCUAUGCAGAAAGUAGAAUUGUUGUGCAAAUCUUAUGUUGCAAAAAAAUAGAAACUGACGUCUUAAGGGAAAAAAAGACUGUUCAAGAUUGAAAACUAGCAACAUCAUAGAAAAUCAAUUGAUUGCUGAAGAGUGAGACUUGGAAAAUGGAUGUUUAGAGAGGUGUUACUGCUCUGAAAUCCUGAAAACACAAUGGCAGAGUGUCUAAAGGGAUGAUGAGGUGAAGAGGAGUAUAGUAAAUGUUGUCAGUGCUUAUCCAAGAACCCUUUCUACAGUUCUGUGUUUUCCUCACAUCAGGCAGAAAGCCAGAAGUACCUGGGGAUUCACGCAUAAACUAAGAAACAGCAAGGGCAGGCGAACAUCUCCAAGCUGCAGGCCCCUGUCGGGUGAGGCAGUUCCAGCGCUGCAGGGACACCCGUGGGGCCAGGCCAGAGAUGCUCUCUGUUGGGCUUCCCUGCACUUUCCCCACGCUGAUGAAUGAGUUUCCCAUUGCCCUUCACAGAUGACCAGAGACUCAGAGGCUUAAAGCUACACAGGCUACACAUGAUGGGCUCAACACUCCGGGCUAAUGGGGUGUUAACAGUGCUGCCAUCUGCCAGGAGGCCCCGUCCUGCUUCUCGACUUCUGAGCCCUCCCUCCGUCUUCGUCUUCAAGGCCAUCUCCCAGAGUAGUCAGCUCCCUCUCAGUCUCCGACUGCUGUCUCCAUCUUUCAUUCGCAAAGGCCCUUGUGAUGGCAUUGGGCUCUCUUGGAUAAUCCAGGUAAUCUCUCUGGCUCAAGAUCCUUAAUUUAAUCGCUGCUGUGAAGUUCCUCCUGCCAUGUGACAUACCGUACUCAUAAGCUCCAGAGAUGGAAUGGGACGUUUUUGAGGGGAAGGGGUAUUAUUUGCUUAUCACAUUUGCCAUCCUUCAUCCUUGACCGUCCCCUGCCCCCAACUCUCAUACAAGUUCCCUCCCACCCGAGCAGCGUUUCCUCAAUAAAUCACUUACAUAAGAAUCAUUGUCUAAGGAUAUGUUUUGGGGAAACAUGACCAAAUACAGGGCAAUUGGAAAUAAAAAAUGAUGACUAUCCAUUAAAGCCAAG